rnacentral:rRNA from 1 species
UACAGAGGGUGCGAGCGUUAAUCGGAUUUACUGGGCGUAAAGGGCGCGUAGGCGGUGGAAUGUGAGUGAUGUGAAAGCCCUGGGCUUAACCUAGGAAGCGCAUCGCAGACUAUUUUACUGGAGUAGAUGAGAGGGUGAUGGAAUUUCCGGUGUAUCAGUUCACUGCUUAUAGAUCGGAAGUCUCUUCUCUGGCGAAGGCUGUCUCCUGUCUUCAUACUGACGCUGAAGCGCGAAAGCGUGGGGAUCGAACAGG